GUGCAGCGGUAGUUCAGUUGGUUAGAAUACCGGCCUGUCACGCCGGGGGUCGCGGGUUCGAGCCCC
rnacentral:tRNA from 24 species